AUUGAGUCUCAUUGCUACCCUUUUGCUCCAGAGAGGCAAACUCAUCUCACCAUGUGCAAAUCUCUGUGUUUCCUUGCUCUCCUCAGUUACUUCUCAGGUAAGUGUGUAGUGAAUUCACUUUCACAGCAGCCCAAAGGUCAGAAAACUAGCCUAGCUGUAUUGUGCUAUUGCCCUACGACUGGACCGUAGCACCUAAAAGAUUUUCCCAUCACUUCCAAUGGACCUCUGUGCUCUGCAGGACAGGGACUCCAGCUGGUCUGUAUACAUAGGAACAGGGUCUUCCGUGUGGUGGCACCUAAACUUUGAAUUUCCCUCCUGCUAAAUAUUAAGGGCCAUCUCAGUUGUCUGCUUGAUCUCCCUCUUCCAACAAGCCUUUCUGUCUGUGCUAGAUAGAUAGACUUUGUGCAUGUGUAUGAAAUUGUUUUAACUGUUUGGAUAUGAAUUUCUAAAGUGGUUUUUAUCGCUGCUGGUUUUUUUAAUUGUUAAAUCACUUUGAGACACCGUAUUGGCCUGAAUAUAAGCCUCACUCCCCCCCCCCCCCCAAUUCCAACCGUGAAAAGUUAAAGUGCGACUUAAAUUCACGACCUUACAAAAAUGGGCUUUUACGAUAUCGCUGCUGAAACAGACAUAUGGUAAAAUGGAACAGGUGUGAGUGCCUGCAGAAUUUUAAAGGAGCGGCUUAUAUUUGGGCCAAUAUGGUAUGUUAUAGGAAUUGGUGUGCAAAUGGAAGGAAAUAAACAAAUACCUGCUUUUCUGAUAUUCGGCAGCACAUAAAAUAUAUUGAGCUUAUAUUAUUUGUGUUUGUUUGUUUGUUUGUUUGUUUGUUUGUUGCAAAGGGGUCAUUUCCCAGUCACCUUGGACUCAGCCCACCUCCGAGUCUAUAUCCCCAGGACAAACGGCUAAACUCUCUUGCACCGUCAGUGGUACCGUGAAUACUAUUUACUGGUAUCAACAGAGAUCUGGACAAGUCCCUCGCUAUGUGCAUUAUGCUGGCGGCAGCAGGGGAGAAGGGAUUCCCAGUCGUUUCACGGCUUCUGUCUCUGGGAAUGUUGGCUAUUUAACAAUCAGUAACAUUCAGGCUGAAGAUGAAGCAGUUUACUAUUGUAACAUGUGGUCUAGCAGUGCCAGCUCGUU